rnacentral:rRNA from 1 species
UACGGAGGGUGCAAGCGUUAUCCGGAUUCACUGGGUUUAAAGGGUGCGUAGGCGGAUCUGUAAGUCAGUGGUGAAAUCUCCGAGCUUAACUCGGAAACUGCCGUUGAUACUAUAGGUCUUGAAUGUUGUGGAGGUUAGCGGAAUAUGUCAUGUAGCGGUGAAAUGCAUAGAUAUGACAUAGAACACCAAUUGCGAAGGCAGCUGGCUACACAAAUAUUGACGCUGAGGCACGAAAGCGUGGGGAUCAAACAGG